AUUUGUCUUUUAAAUGGAGACUCGUAUGAACGGCGAAACCUUUUUCAACUGUCUCCCCUCCCACCCUUUUAAAUUUCUUCCUGUGUGAAGAAGCACAGAUAUAUUAGAAAGACGAGAAGACCCUGUCGAGCUUUAGUCACCAAGUGGACCGCUCCCUUUUAAGGUACCACCUAAAGGCUUUGGUUGGGGCAACCAUGGAGAAAAAAAAUCCUCCAGAACAAAUAGAAGAAAACCCUUCACUAUUUAUUAAACUUAAGAACCAGGAACUGGNUAUUCGGAAAAAGUUACCGCAGGGAUAACAGCGUCAUCUCCUCUAAGAGUCCUUAUUGACGAGGAGGUUUGCGACCUCGAUGUUGGAUUGGGGCCCCCUUAGGGUGCAGAAGCUCUAAAUGGUUAGACUGUUCGUCUAUUAAAGCCCUACAUGAUCUGAGU
rnacentral:rRNA from 1 species